rnacentral:rRNA from 1 species
AUUGAACGCUGGCGGCAGGCCUAACACAUGCAAGUCGAACGGUAACAGGAAGCAGCUUGCUGCUUCGCUGACGAGUGGCGGACGGGUGAGUAAUGUCUGGGAAACUGCCUGAUGAAGGGGGAUAACUACUGGAAACGGUAGCUAAUACCGCAUAACGUCGCAAGACCAAAGAGGGGGACCUUAGGGCCUCUUGCCAUCGGAUGUGCCCAGAUGGGAUUAGCUAGUAGGUGGGGUAACGGCUCACCUAGGCGACGAUCCCUAGCUGGUCUGAGAGGAUGACCAGCCACACUGGAACUGAGACACGGUCCAGACUCCUACGGGAGGCAGCAGUGGGGAAUAUUGCACAAUGGGCGCAAGCCUGAUGCAGCCAUGCCGCGUGUAUGAAGAAGGCCUUCGGGUUGUAAAGUACUUUCAGCGGGGAGGAAGGGAGUAAAGUUAAUACCUUUGCUCAUUGACGUUACCCGCAGAAGAAGCACCGGCUAACUCCGUG